rnacentral:rRNA from 1 species
GAUGAAUGCUGGUGGCGUGCCUAACACAUGCAAGUCGAGCGGCAGCGAGGGGUGCUUGCACCCUGUCGGCGAGCGGCGAACAGCUGAGUAACGCGUAGGAAUUUGCCCCAAAGUGAGGAAUAACUGCCCGAAAGGGUAGCUAAUGCCGCAUAUGGUCUUCGGAUUAAAGGAUUUAUCCGCUUUGGGAGAAGCCUGCGUUGGAUUAGGUUGUUGGUAGGGUAAUGGCCUACCAAGCCGACGAUCCAUAGCUGGUCUGAGAGGAUGAUCAGCCAGACUGGAACUGAGACACGGUCCAGACUCCUACGGGAGGCAGCAGUGAGGAAUCUUCCACAAUGGGCGAAAGCCUGAUGGAGCAACGCCGCGUGAAGGAUGAAGGCCUUCGGGUUGUAAACUUCUUUUAUGAGUGAAGAAUAUGACGGUAACUCAUGAAUAAGCACCGGCUAACUACGUG